rnacentral:rRNA from 1 species
GAUGAACGCUGGCGGCGUGCCUAAUACAUGCAAGUAGAACGCUGAAGGAGGAGCUUGCUCUUCUGGAUGAGUUGCGAACGGGUGAGUAACGCGUAGGUAACCUGCCUGGUAGCGGGGGAUAACUAUUGGAAACGAUAGCUAAUACCGCAUGACAACAGUUAUUGCAUGAUAACUGUUUAAAAGGGGCAACUGCUCCACUACCAGAUGGACCUGCGUUGUAUUAGCUAGUUGGUGAGGUAACGGCUCACCAAGGCGACGAUACAUAGCCGACCUGAGAGGGUGAUCGGCCACACUGGGACUGAGACACGGCCCAGACUCCUACGGGAGGCAGCAGUAGGGAAUCUUCGGCAAUGGACGGAAGUCUGACCGAGCAACGCCGCGGGAGUGAAGAAGGUUGUCGGAUCGUAAAGCUCUGUUGUAAGAGAAGAACGAGUGUGAGAGUGGAAAGUUCACAAUGUGACGGUAGCUUACCAGAAAGGGACGGCUAACUACGUG